UCUCUCAAAAUUUGCUACAAUAAUAUCCAGUUUUGAAGUUAAUUUUACAUUCUUUCUUGGGAGAAAGAUUCCACCAGCUUUGGGAAUUGGUUUUGCCCCUUGUUUCUAUUGUAUCUAUUAUGUAUGUAUGUAUGUAGGUAGGUAGCAAUGAGGUUUGCGAUUGUGGUGUGUGAAUCUUGUGGCCAAAUUUGGCUUCCCCCAAAUAAGUUGUUUUGUUUCAUAUUAUUAUUGUCUCUUAAUUGGAAUUUUUUUGGGUGCUCCUUCAUUGAUAACUCUUCCAUUUGAGAGGAUUUUUCUCUAGUAAGUUGAAUUGAAGAUAUGUAUUUGGUGGAGAGCAAGGGAGGUGCUAUAGCAUGUAUGCUGUUUUCCCUGUUCUUCUUGGGCACGUGGCCUGCUAUAAUGACUCUCGUAGAAAGACGAGGUCGUCUUCCGCAGCACACUUACCUUGAUUACACAAUGACCAACCUCUUGGCUGCCGUAAUUAUUGCUUUCACCUUUGGUGAGAUCGGCAAGAGCUCACACGAACAGCCAAAUUUCAUGACUCAGCUUUCUCAGGACAAUUGGCCCUGUGUUCUAUGGGCAAUGGCUGGUGGGGUGGUCCUCAGCAUAGGAAACCUGUCCACACAAUAUGCUUGGGCCUUGGUUGGUUUAUCAGUGACCGAGGUGAUCACUUCAAGCAUAACUGUGGUUAUAGGAACAACCUUGAACUACUUCUUAGAUAACAAAAUCAAUAAAGCCGAGAUUCUUUUUCCCGGUGUUGGAUGCUUCUUGAUUGCAGUUUGUCUUGGCUCUGCUGUUCAUGCAUCCAAUGCGGCUGAUAAUAGAGCAAAGCUUAGUAAUUUUUCAAAUGAUUGCAAAACUGGUGAAGGGGCUACUGGUAUUUCUGUGUCAAAAGAAACAAAUCCAAACAAAGGUGGAGCAAAGGAUCUGGAGAAUGGAAGUAGUACUUCAGAGAAGGCAAAAUUUGGGAGUGCAGGCUUUCUUAUAGAGCUUGAGAAUAGAAGAGCAAUUAAGGUGUUUGGAAAGAGCACUGUGAUUGGAUUGGCCAUAACUUUCUUUGCUGGGGUUUGCUUCUCUCUUUUCUCACCUGCAUUCAACCUAGCAACAAAUGAUCAGUGGCACAGCUUGAAACACGGAGUUCCUCACUUGAGUGUCUACACUGCUUUUUUCUACUUCUCAGUCUCUUGUUUUGUGAUUGCCAUCAUUUUAAAUAUCAGUUUCCUCUACCACCCUGUAUUGAACUUACCAAGAUCAUCGUUAAGGGCUUAUCUGACAGACUGGAACGGCAGAGGUUGGGCCUUAUUGGCUGGACUCCUUUGUGGAUUUGGAAAUGGUCUCCAAUUUAUGGGAGGUCAAGCAGCAGGGUAUGCUGCUGCUGAUGCGGUUCAGGCACUUCCACUUGUAAGCACCUUUUGGGGUAUACUUCUGUUUGGAGAGUACAGGAAAUCGUCACGACGAACAUAUAUAUUGCUUGGAGGCAUGUUGUUCAUGUUUAUUGCUGCUGUUGGUGUUUUGAUGGGGUCCUCAGGGCAUCGCAAAUGACUAAGCAGCUGCAACAUCCAGAUCCAGGAGAUUGUUGUUAUUUGUUAUAUAUAAAAAUAAAAAAUCAUACAAAACUCAAAGUUUCUGAGAAUCAAUACAUUAUACAUAAGUUGAAUAUUAGGUGCUUCUUGAUGUAAUCACAAGCUAUUAGUGAUCCAUGGAAGAAAACUAAAGUAAACAAACAAAUAAAAAAAAAAAAAAAAAAAGAAGGAAAAUGGAUGGAAAUGAAAAAUUCUUCUUUUUUGGGUGGGUAAGAAAUGGAAAAUUCAAGUGAAUCUGGCCUUGACUUUCUCCUUAGAAUAUUGAAAGUAGCUUUCAGCCAUUUAAGGUGACAAGUCUUUUUAUAUCUCUUGUCGUUUGUAUUCAUGCUGAAAAGGGCAUUCAAUUUUUUUUUUUUCAAAUGAUUUUAAUUUUAUUUCCCU